CUUCCGUCCAAAUUUCACCGUCAUCCUAGAUCACCAUCACUGAUCGACGACAAAGGUUAUGCUUUAAAAAUUUCCUGGUUUUGCACAAUUCAAAGUUGUUGUUUUUCGUUUUUUAUUUUAUUUUAUUUUUCACUAAAGCUUGUAUAGCCGAUAUUCGUGCGGUUUAUUUCCUCAUUAUGCUCCUUUUUUGGACUAGACUAAGUUAUUAUUGAAAAUUACUAUCACUUGUGCCUCUAUUUAUUUUCCAAUUCGCAAUUUUUUCUUUUCUGUUCAGUUGCUUGGCUAUGUUGUGUUAGAAAAUUUUUUAUUCCAUCAGUUUUUCAACAUAUGGUUCAACUUAUAUGAUUAUAAAAAGAUGCAAAUUCUUGAGUUUUUUUUUUUUUCCACUGACGGUUGUCUGGCAGCAAAUGAAAGUUUUAAUCAUUUUAUUACAGGAUCACUCUAUGAAAUUUCAGUUCGAAUUAUGCAUGUUAUUCAAUAUUUAGGUGGUUUCGUUAAUUGUUAUGGUGACAAUAAAUUCUGUUGAGCUAACCGUGCAGUUUAUUUCUAUCGUAGAAUGGGCGGAAAGAAUACUUAAAUGUGUCACAGUUGCAGAGCUAAGGUUCAUUUCUUUGCCUAAUAAUAUCCAAGGAAAUGUCAAUGCCCGGAAUGCAAGCAUGAAUUUGAGAAGUGUUUAGUGAUAAAGAAACAAACAACGAAUAAAGGGCGAUUAUAUAUUUGUUGCAGUGCUAAUUGCAGAUUUUGGAUUGGAUUAUCAAAGAAGGAUCGAGCGAUCAAUCGUCUAAUGAUAACAGUUGACCAUUAAACUUUGUAACGAAUGAAAAUGUUGAAGCAAUGUUUGAGACGUUGGAAUCUCGGGUUCGACUGAAUGACGAAGAAAACCUACAUAUUUCGGUGAAUGUCAAAAUAUGCAAGGCCAAUUGUAGUGCAGAAGCGAAUGCAAAAGGGAAGCAGUCGAUGUAAUUAUUAGACAUAAAUUUGCUCGUCGACAUAACUUUUGUGUAUGUAGCAUUAUCUCGAGUAGUCGAGUUAGUUAUCGGUAUCUUCAUGUAGCUAUGGUCUACUGAUCAAUUUGGAUUAGGAAUUUGUAGACAUGAUUGCCACCAUUGUGAAGACAGAAUUAGGAAUUUUUAAUGCUAACAUGCA
rnacentral:lncRNA from 1 species